rnacentral:tRNA from 1 species
GCCUGAGUGGCUCAGUCGGUCAAGCAUCUGACUUUGACUCAGGUCAUGAUCUCACAGUUCAUGGGUUCGAGACCCAUGUCAGGCU